UGCAAAUGUCAAUGGGCCCAUCUUCUUUCCGCUCUCCUUGCUGCCAUUGUCGUCCUUGUUUCCCCAUCUUUCCUUGCGCCCCAUUCCCCAAUCCAAAACCCGAACCCUAAGAUCGGAAUCUUCGCCGAUCAGUGAGCGAAACCCUCAUCUUCUUCGAAUUCGUGAUUGCUUUGGUUUCUAUCUCCAGCGAGUCGAUGUGGCAUCGACAGCCGUAUGGAAAGGAUGGGGACGUGGAGGCUGGGCUGCGGCCGUUGUACCCGAUGAUGUUGGAGAGCCCGGAGCUCCAGUGGGCAUUCAUCAGGAAGAUCUAUGUGAUCUUGACGGCCCAGCUGGCGCUCACCGUCGCCGUCGCCUCCGUCGUCAUCGCCGUCUGCCCCAUCAGGAGAUCUCUGCAAAUCAGAUUUAAGCUUAUCUCAAGUGCUUAAGCUUAUCUUAAGUGCAAAGAGGGUAAGCAUUUUCUGCACACCAGUUGUUUGAUAAAAUCUUGAGAAGGCAAACAUGGCAGCAAAUGGUAAUCUCAUGUCUAUUUCUCAACCUUCCCUUCCUAUUUUCAAAGGUGAUUGUUAUGAGUUUUGGAGCAUUAAAAUGAAAACCUUAUUUAUGUCUCAAGACUUAUGGGAUUUGAUUGAGUAUGGUUACAUAGAAGGGGAUCUAGAGCAAAUGACUGCAGCUCAGAGGAAUCAAUUGAGAGAAGCCAAAAAGAAGGACUCAAAAGCAUUGUUCUUCAUUCAGUAAGCUGUGCAUGAGACAAUUUUUUCCAGAAUUGCAGUAGCAACUACUUCAAGGAAAGCAUGGAUGAUAUUGCAAAGGGAGUUUUAAGGCUCGUCGAAGAGGUUGAAUAGGCCAACUGAAAAGUCUUAGAAGAAAGCAUUCCAGGUGAAAGAUGAAUCAUCUACUCAAAAAGACAAGCAUGAAAAUUCAGCAGGAAGAAAACGUGGUAGAGGUGGCUUUCGAGGUAGAGGCCGUGGCAGAAGCAGAGGAAGAGGACGGUUCGAUGGGCAAGCUGAAACUAGGCAGUUUUCCAAUGAGCAGAGAAGCUAUAAAAAUGGUGUUCAAUGCUAUCAUUGCAAGAAAUUCGGACAUGUACAAGCAGAUUGCUGGCAUAGAGAGAAGCAAGUGAACUAUGCAGAAGAAAAUGAAGCAGAAACCAGGUUGUUCAUGGCCCAUGUUGAUGCCGAUGAGGUUUCAAAUGAUAUUUGGUUUGUGGAUAGCGGUUGCUCCAAUCAUAUGUGUGGCAUGAAGUCAAUGUUCAAGGAGCUUGAUGAAACUCAAAAGAAGACAGUAAGGCUUGGCGAUGAUAAGCAAAUUUAAGUUGAAGGAAAAGGAACUGUUGCAGUCAAGACUAGCCAUGGUAAAGUAAAAGUACUUUAUAAUGUUCAUUUUGUUCCUGGUUUGGCACAUAAUUUGUUAAGUAUUGGGCAACUAAUGGCUAGUGGAUAUUCAAUAUUGUUUGAUGAUGAGUCAUGUGUUAUUAAAGAUAAAAAUUCAGGAUAGGUAUUGGUAAAUGUUCGCAUGGUAAAAAAAUAACAUGUUUCCGCUUGAAGUUUCAAAUGUGGAGAAUUAUGCUCUUGUUGUUGGUCAAAAGGCUGAAUCAAAAUUAUGGCAUGUACGGUAUGGGCAUUUGAACUUAAAAGGUAUGAAAUUGUUGAGUCAGAAAGGUAUGGUUCUUGGACCGCCCAAAAUUGAUUCUUUGGAUUUAUGUGAAGAAUGCAUUUAUGGUAAACAAACAAGAAAAUCAUUUCCAGAUAGAAAAUCUUGGAGGGUUUCUAGUUGCCUUGAAUUAAUACAUGCUGAUUUGUGUGGGCCUACGAACACCCAAUCAUUUGGUGGGAGUUGGUAUUUUUUGCUUUUCACUGAUGAUUGCAGUCGUAUGAGUUGGGUGUAUUUUUUGAAGUA